rnacentral:rRNA from 1 species
GACGAACGCUGGCGGCGUGCUUAACACAUGCAAGUCGAACGGUGAAGGGACCAGCUUGCUGGUUCUGGAUGAGUGGCGAACGGGUGAGUAACACGUGAGUAACCUGCCCCCUUCUUCUGGAUAACCGCAUGAAAGUGUGGCUAAUACGGGAUAUUCUGGGUCUGUCGCAUGGCGGGCCCGGGAAAGAUAUUGCUUCGGUGGGGGGUGGGCUCGCGGCCUAUCAGCUUGUUGGUGGGGUGAUGGCCUACCAAGGCGGUGACGGGUAGCCGGCCUGAGAGGGUGGACGGUCACACGGGGACUGAGACACGGCCCAGACUCCUACGGGAGGCAGCAGUGGGGAAUAUUGCACAAUGGGCGCAAGCCUGAUGCAGCGACGCCGCGUGAGGGAGGGAGGCCUUCGGGUUGUAAACCUAUUUCGCCAGUGAAGCAGGCCUGCUCCUUGUGGGUGGGUUGACGGUAGCUGGAUAAGAAGCGCCGGCUAACUACGUG